rnacentral:rRNA from 1 species
AUCCUACGGGGGGCAGCAGUGAGGAAUAUUGGUCAAUGGGCGGGAGCCUGAACCAGCCAAGUCGCGUGAAGGAAGAAGGAUCUAUGGUUCGUAAACUUCUUUUGCAGGGGAAUAAAGUGCGGGACGUGUCCUGUUUUGUAUGUACCCUGAGAAUAAGGAUCGGCUAACUCCGUGCCAGCAGCCGCGGUAAUACGGAGGAUCCGAGCGUUAUCCGGAUUCAUUGGGUUUAAAGGGUGCGUAGGCGGACUAUUAAGUCAGUGGUGAAAUCCUGCAGCUUAACUGCAGAACUGCCAUUGAUACUGAUAGCCUUGAGUUUGGUUAAGGUAGGCGGAAUGUGUAAUGUAGCGGUGAAAUGCUUAGAUAUUACACAGAACACCAAUUGCGUAGGCAGCUUACUGAGCCGACACUGACGCUGAGGCACGAAAGCGUGGGGAUCGAACAGGAUUAGAUACCCUAGUAGACG